rnacentral:rRNA from 1 species
AAUCAACGCUGGCGGCGCGCUUAACACAUGCAAGUCGCACGAGAAAGUGGAGCAAUCCAUGAGUAAAGUGGCGUACGGGUGAGUAACACGUGGAUCAUCUACCUCUUGGUGGGGAAUAACCUUGGGAAACCGGGGCUAAUACCGCAUAAGCCUGGAAAGGGAAAGCAGCAAUGCGCCGAGAGAGGAGUCCGCGGCCGAUUAGCUAGUUGGUAGGGUAAUGGCCUACCAAGGCAAUGAUCGGUAGCCGGCCUGAGAGGGCACACGGCCACACUGGCACUGAAACACGGGCCAGACUCCUACGGGAGGCAGCAGUGGGGAAUCUUGCACAAUGGGGGAAACCCUGAUGCAGCGACGCCGCGUGAGCGAUGAA